GGUGAUAAAAAAGUGACAUCAUUACAAAAUCUGUGACAGCACAGGUCAUCAGCUGUAAAUAUUGGCAGUCACGUGUCACUGCUCACCUGCUGUGUGGUGACCGUAGCAGGAUGACCGUCGCUGAAAUGCAGAUGGGACUGCUGUCUUCUCACACACUGGUGGUGAUGGUUGCUGAGCUGCUCUCUACUCUCUCAGAAGGAGAAACAUGGUGGCAAAUAAAAAUCAACAGUUUCUGCACAGUCUGUGUCAGACUGCAGUCACAGUCCGGUUGCUGCACCUGGAUGUGGUUGCUGUAGUCUCCACUGCGGUCGUGGAGCCCUGAUGAUGCUGUGGUCUCAGUUGAAGCAACACUGCGGAGGUUUACCGUCAUCCGCCUCGUGAACAGCCGGUGGUCUUGAGCUCUGCUGGGACUAGAGGGGAUGCUAGCAGGCCAAUAAGCUAUCUCCGGUGUGCUGGUCGCUGGAAGGACGGGAGUCGGUCUCGGUGUCGGUGACUCACCGUCUCCUCCUCAUCCUCCUCGGUGUCUCCCUCCGCUCUUCACUGCGGCGCGCGGCCAGCGGCGGGAGACAAGGUUACCAUAGCAACCGGCCUGCAGAGGGAUGAGGGGAAAUCUCUGAUCGAAGAUGACAACCGAAGAUCAAUCACCUUUACACCGACAUGAAAAUAUGAAACAUGAUAACCACUUCCUCCGUACCCUGCUCUUUGGAUGUGAAACCACAGAAACACGCGUCAUCAGAGCAGGACGUCCACCUGUUCCUUUUUGUUUGCUGUUACGUAACGUCACAAUGUCACGAAGACACAACAGAAAUACGCACGUGCUCAGACCAGAACAUGAGUGUUUGUUCAGAGGAAGAGGAGGACAGAGCAGAUUCUCCUGGACCCAACAGCUGUCUGUCUUUGGACAGUGACCUGAGUCCUCCAGCUGCAAACAGUCAGACAGUGUGAGGAGGAGGAAGAGGAGUCCUGUCUCUGUGGAAGAGAAGCCAUACUGCUGUGCUGCGUGUCAGGGCGUCCUGAAGGAUCCAGUCUCUACCAGCUGUGGACACUGGUUCUGCAGACAGUGCCUCACCUCAAACUGCGACCAAUCUGGUCCACCAAGAGGUAGAGGUGGGCAUUAUGGCCUCAAAAUAUAACACGAUAUUUCGAGAAAAGUUGUGAUAACGUUAUUUAUGACAAUAUUUUCCACCUGUUUCUGUGUCUGUGGAUUCCUGAACCUAGGAACUCAGUAUUUUUCCCGCUCAAUGUUUUUAGUUUUUUUUUAAAUCUCUUUAUUGGGUUUUUUCUUUUUCCACAUAAAUUGCAAAAGUCUGAGACACUAUUACCCAUGCCUCAAACUAGCAUACAAAAAAAAGUAUAAAUGAAAACCAAAGGAUAUACAAAA